rnacentral:rRNA from 1 species
UACGGAGGGGGCUAGCGUUGUUCGGAAUUACUGGGCGUAAAGCGCACGUAGGCGGCUUGGUAAGUUAGAGGUGAAAGCCUGGAGCUCAACUCCAGAAUUGCCUUUAAGACUGCCGAGCUAGCAGGUGAGAGAGGUGAGUGGAAUUCCGAGUGUAGAGGUGAAAUUCGUAGAUAUUCGGAGGAACACCGAUGGCGAAGGCAGCCCCCUGGGCUAACACUGACGCUCAGGCACGAAAGCGUGGGGAGCAAACAGG